rnacentral:tRNA from 1 species
GCCUCGGUAGCCUAGUGGUAGAGCGCCCGCUUUGAGUGCGGGAGGUCAUGGGUUCGAUCCCCAGCUGUGUCA